rnacentral:rRNA from 1 species
GACGAACGCUGGCGGCGUGCUUAACACAUGCAAGUCGAACGAUGAAGCACUAGCUUGCUGGUGUGGAUUAGUGGCGAACGGGUGAGUAACACGUGAGUAACCUGCCCUUCACUCUGGGAUAAGCCUGGGAAACUGGGUCUAAUACUGGAUACGACCGCACUUUGCUUGGUGUGUCGGUGGAAUGUUUUUGUGGUUGGGAUUGGACUCGCGGCCUAUCAGCUUGUUGGUGGGGUAAUGGCCGACCAAGGCGACGACGGGUAGCCGGCCUGAGAGUGCGACCGGCCACACUGGGACUGAGACACGGCCCAGACUCCUACGGGAGGCAGCAGUGGGGGAUAGUGCACGAUGGGCGGAAGCCUGAUGCAGCGACGCCGCGUGGGGGAUGACGGCCUUCGGGUUGUAAACCGCUUUCGCCAGGGACGAAGCUAACGUGACGGUACCUGGAGAAGAAGCACCGGCUAACUACGUG